ACUCGCCCGAUCACCGAAGUUAAGCAAUGUUGAGCCUGGUCAGUGCUUAGAUGGGUGACUGUUUGGGAAAAACCAGUUGCUGUAGG